rnacentral:lncRNA from 1 species
AUGAGGGAGCACAAACACUGUCUACCUGGUUGCAUAGAGUCUACUGCAUUGAUGACAUAAGAUUGACUACAGUUGCUUUGUGCCCACAUGUGGAGUGAGAUAAUGUCAUGUAGAAACCAGAUGUGACCCACGACCCUGGGAAGAACAGCCUGGAGAGGCAGUGUCUGGAGCAAUUCAACACACAGACUCCCAUCAGCAGGAUUCAAAAGCAAACCAGUAAUGCUGAGAUGUUAUUAUUAAUUUAUACAGCCAGAAGAAACUAUUAUUUCUCCAAAAUAUUUGAGGAUUUUCUUGGUGAUGCCAAGCAAAACUUAAAGCCUGAAUGAUAUUCAAUCAAUAGGCUGGAGCAAGA